UAAGGAAUAUUGCUCAAUGGGAGAAAUCCUGAAGCAGCAACGCCGCGUGGAGGAUGAAGGGUCUAUGACUUGUAACUCCUGUAAAGAAGGAAAAAAUUCCCAUUUGAUGGGAGAUGAUGGUACUUCUGGAGUAAGCCCCGGCUAACUACGUGCCAGCAGCCGCGGUAAUACGUAGGGGGCAAGCGUUGUCCGGAUUUACUGGGUGUAAAGGGUGCUCAGGCGGAUUUGUAAGUCAGAGGUGAGAUCUUACAGCUUAACUGUGAAACUGCCUUUGAUACUGCAAGCCUAGAGUAUGGAAGAGAGUGAUGGAAUAUCUGGUGUAGCAGUGAAAUGCGUAGAUAUCAGAUAGAACACCAAUGGCGAAGGCAGUCACUUGGUCCAUUACUGACGCUAAAGAACGAAAGCGUGGGUAGCAA
rnacentral:rRNA from 1 species